rnacentral:antisense_RNA from 1 species
GGGGCCUGCCGGGAACUGGAGUGCGCCCCGCGGCCUUUUGCGCAGGCGCCGAAGCCACACCGCGAAGUACCGUUUUUUCAGGCACAAGGAAGGUUUCACCCCGUUGCCGAAAGACUAAGCGUCCCGUUGGCCAGUGCAACGAAGAACGGAGGAAGCGACGCAGUGGCCUUGUGUGGGCCUUCAGCUUCCAGUUCCAUGGCCUGGUGGAGGACCCUGUGGUGCAAGCAUUCCUCCAGACCCCCCUGGCCUGGGGCCCAAGACUGGGAAGCCUUUGAAGAUUUCAGUUUGUAAGUAGUGAGAGCAAUGAUCUUGGCUUUGCAUGGUGCUCAGGAAGCCUUCCCCACUCCCAAACCAGAAAGGCAUCCAUCCAGAUUUUCCUCCACUGUCUGGAUGGCGGCUCUGUGGAUGUUUCCAUCUGUAUCCAUUGCCGGCACCUGGUGAGGGAUAUUGCUCAGCCAAAGGGCCAGCAUCCCAGUGAAGAAGAUCAGAAAGAGGCUUCCGAUUCCGUCUCUAGAGCCUUUGAGGUCACUCCUGAUGCUGACAUGGCUGUGAAGAGCUGGGUGCCAGGCAUUACUGCCUCCAAGGUUGCUUUGCGAGGAAUAGGUGGGGCAUCAGGAAGAAGCCAGUUGCAGGCAAGGCCUCUGCUGAUGCUGCUUUUUUCUCCUGUAGCCAUCCAUGGGAGGGAGCUGUGAGAUGGCCUGGCAGAACCCGCUCUCGGACCCCACAGAAUGAGAGGCUCACCCUGCACAGGAACAUCCUGGGGCAGCAGGCUCAGCACAUUUUAAAUUUUGAGUAUGAACAAAGUAAACUUCAGGGUU